rnacentral:rRNA from 1 species
GACGAACGCUGGCGGCGUGCCUAAUACAUGCAAGUCGAACGAACGGAUAAAGAGCUUGCUCUUUUGAAGUUAGUGGCGGACGGGUGAGUAACACGUGGGUAACCUGCCUCACAGCUGGGGAUAACAUCGAGAAAUCGAUGCUAAUACCGAAUGUGCUGAACAUCAUAAGAUGUUCAAGUGAAAGACGGUUUCGGCUGUCACUGUGAGAUGGACCCGCGCUGGAUUAGCUAGUUGGUAAGGUAAUGGCUUACCAAGGCGACGAUCCAUAGCCGACCUGAGAGGGUGAUCGGCCACAUUGGGACUGAGACACGGCCCAAACUCCUACGGGAGCAGCAGUAGGGAAUCUUCGGCAAUGGACGAAAGUCUGACCGAGCAACGCCGCGUGAGCGAAGAAGGCCUUCGGGUCGUAAAGCUCUGUUGUUAGAGAAGAACAUGGGUGAGAGUAACUGUUCACCCUUGACGGUAUCUAACCAG